GGCGCGGAGUCUGUACUUGUGACUCUGGUUUUCUGAUGCUCAACACCUCUGGAACGCCCCACGUCAUGGCGGGCAAACACAUCUGAUGGAGAGGCAAUGAUGCCUUCGUCUUAAAUUUCAGGCCAGCAGCUUCUCUGCAAACCUGCUCAUUUCCUG